UCUCCAGUUACCAAUCCCAGCGGCGCCGACGCCAAUCCUGUGCUCGCCAUAGGUCACCGUUGGUCUCCCAUCUUCCCUAGCGCCGGCCCCCAUUGGGAGCCACGCGUAGAGGCCAUGAACAAGGCGGGCCGGCGACAUAAAUCAAGCCGCGGCGGCGUGGUGUUCCCAUCGUGACAUGUGCUUCUCCCGGCGGCCGAGCGGCUCCUCGACGUCCAUGAGGUCCCCCACCUUGGCCUCCUCCACCAGUGUACAUCAGGUUUCGUCGGCGAUGCGAAUACUACGGCCGAGCCUAGCUGGGCCUGCAGCGCAAGCACCCGUGCGACUGGCAUCGUCAACGCGGCUUCCAACUCGGCGAAGAGGGGCGCACAGCGCGAGAUACCGUGUUGUUCUUCUUGUCAGGAGACGUCAAUGCGGUGGCCUUGCUGAUCUGAGCCUGGAUGUUGAGCAACCGCACGACCAUGGUCGACGCGGUACCGGUCAUGUCGAGGGACGGCAAUAGCGUGCGCACCGCAGUGCGGCCGCUGUCCGCCGAGGAGCUCUACGGGGGACGGUCUGCGAUGUCGCCGCGGUCGACAUCGGACCCCAUGGACAUAGCGGCCAGAAGACUGCACGCACAGAGCUCAAGCUGUUGGCGCGGUGGCGGCACCGGCGCUUGCGUCGGAGCAGCUUCGGCUUCAGCGGCUGCCACAGCUGCUGCGCCCUCGGCUAGCCCCUGAAGAGCGCGAGCCCGCCGCUGCACUGGUUGCACUCCCUCUGCAUGGUCCACGCGCCGAGUUUUCGACCUCGACCACGCCCAACCGUCCGGUGGCAGCCAUGGACCGCGACCUCCCCGAUCAUGCCCCACCAUCUCACGUUCCCUCCUCGCCUCUAGAGCUCCGCUGUUGCUUCCGUCUCGGCCGUCAGCCGUUGGCAUCACCGCCAUCGUCUUCACCUUGGUGCAACCAUCUCCUUCUUGGCUUGAACAUACACUGAAUAUUUCAGGCUUGCAUUCAGUAUUUGUUAUGUUGAUCACCUUGCUCUGCUCUUCCUUUGAGAAACACCAAUGCGGCUUAUAUGUCUCAGCACACUAUAUACCCAAGUUAUGACAUUAUCCAAGCAACGCACUCUGGAGAAAACCCGAUCCUUUUCUGAUUUCAGUGAUCCAGUGAUGGACUCAAAAUUCUGAUACGUACCAACUACUAUUUCUUUUCUUUUUCUUGAAAAGGACUAACUACUAUUUCUCUGUGUUGGUGGCAACUUUUAAACAGUGUCUUCACACAUUAGCGAUUUUUACUUGUAAGCACAUGCCAAUUCAGUUUGCAGAAUGAAAUCUUAUAUGACAUUGUGAUUUGCUUACACUCAACACAGCUAUAGCAAAAUGACAUACGGAUUGUAAGUGAUUAGUCAGAGUCAGUGACAUCCGGUUAGUAACCUGAUAUAAUGAGCAUCUUUACGUUUUUGGUUCCUGACCAUUAAGCCCACAAGUGAGAAACUGCUGUUUUGAAGUCAGGACUAUCUUUUUUCUCAGUGGGAAGUGCUUUUUCUUGCCCUUUCUGUACACCAGCAACUAGAUGCACCAUCAGAGUGGCUGUGAGGCAGUAACGUUGAAUCUGAACUUGGCGAAUUUGUGUUCUAGCGCCAUUGAAUAUCAGGUUGGUUAAAGAUCGAACAUUAGAAUUCAUGAACAUCUUUCCGGCAAAUACAAAUCAAGUUGUCUAUAGAUGGGAUGCCGCUAUGCCUGCUUUGAUGAUUACUAAAGAUUUGACAAAGGGUUAUUGUUGUAUGGACAUUUUCUUCUGUUAUCUUUGUUGAGGUGUUAUCACAACAACGUUUUUUGGUUAAUUAUUGUUCUGUGACUUAACAAAUAUGUGUUGUUAGUGAAGUGCAUAUUGCUGAAGUAGAUGUUGUAUAUGACCAUCAUACUGCAAUGAAAGGCAGCACCGCCACAAUGAAUGAUAGGUACGAUUCCAGGAAAAGCAAUAUCUGAUUUUAACUCUAAUAACUUAGAAUCAAUGAUAGGUUUAGACGGGUUCACUUAGAGCUUUGGCUAUUUUUUAAUGCUAAUAUUUGGUUCACAUCGAAAAAUAAUUUGUAUUAGUACCUCAUAUGUGCCGAUAAAAGGAUACACUAUAUUCAACGAAACUACUUCACAGCCGAUGCGAAAUGGACGAUUCAUGGACGAUUGAUGAUCAAAUGGCCGUGCUGGACUUCAUUCAAUAUUUUGAUGGCUGGAUGUGUAGAAUCGUGCAGCAGUCGUGCAUGGGUGUCGUUUGUGUAGCACUACUGAUAUUCAAAGGUAUGCUGGGAGCUAUAAUAUGUACAUGUCAAACACCAUUAACAUUUAGGCUCGAUAAUUAAUAUAAACUUUUCUUGAUCCA